rnacentral:lncRNA from 1 species
UCUGAUACCAUGAUAAUAUGACCUGAAGAGAAAGGAAUUGUGGAAAUUUUCUAUGAAUUUCUCAAAUCAUCUACUCAAUGCAUAUAUACAAGAUACCUAGAUAAUAUACCUAGAGAAUCAAAACAAAACCAAUAAACUUUGUACACUUGUAACUAUUCUAUUGCCUAACUUGUAACAAGUUUUUUAUCUCUUUACUAUGUAUUAUGUACAGCUGUGCAUUUGAGCCAAAUUCUGUUGUAGUUUCUAUUGUUGUUGUGAGCUGGUUUAAUAGGCCCAAUUUGUGAUGAAGGUACAAUGUGUUGUUGCUCAAAUAACUCGUGCCUCUUCUUCUUGUGAGAGAUAGAUGAUGAAAUCUUAACUCUAUCAGUAAUUAACCUCCACUAUCCCACGUGUUUCCACAUCCUUAAACUCCUUCUCAGCCACGUCUUCUUAUUUUGAUAUUUUUAAAAAGAAAAUCAAAAUCAUCUUCUCAUACUGCUUAGUGAAACUGUGUUCUUUGGGAAUGAAAUUCCACAAUUGAAAUUCUUCUGCGUUAUAAGGUAGGUGUGUUGAGAGCAAUUACUUAUUUUUGUGAUGUAAUUUUCGCCAAUUUCUGUUUUUAUUUUUGAUUUUGAGAUGUUUCUAGGUAAGGUUAAUUUGCUUCUUUUGAAUUCUUUUACUAUUUAAUAUGAGGGUUGAAAUUUGUAUUCUGGGAUUUGUUUAAGACAAUUAUUUAAUUUGUGUAUACUUUAGUUGGAUAAUUUUAUUUGAAAUAUGCUUUUGCAGAAAAAGCAUUUGGUUCUCUUUCAACAGAUUUUGACUUUGGAAUGACAAUUUACCAGAAAAAUUUACUUUAAUCAGAGAAACUAAAAUCCCUACUAUAAGUUGCUCAGCCUUUCCAAAAAUAUUGCCACACCGUGUCAGAUCCUUCAGAAAUACACUAUUUUUGGAGGAUUCGACACACUCCUGAUAGAUAUUUUUGAAGAGUCCGAACAUCUUAUAUUAUAACUUUAAUUGAAAGGUACAUAGUUACUGCAUUGUCAUGUUGGAGCGCUAAAGGUUGAUAGUCUGCAGAAACUCUGUUCAUCAGUGAAUCCAAUAAGGUGAAACAGUGUCUGAUGUCCUGUCUUACUACUAUAUGAAAUUGUUGGCUUUUCAAGGUGUGGAGUUUUAUCUUUUGUCCAGUAGUGUGUUAGCUUUAGUUCGAGGAAUGAAACAGUAUUAGUGGACUUUCAUGCUAGGUUGAUCCAACUUCAAGUUGAUUUCCUUGAGGUUCUCUUGGCUCAUGACUUUCAUCUAUCUGGUCUCAAUUCUUGUGUGAUGCUUUAGGAUCAUAAAUAUACUAAUGCGGGUUAGCCUUUUGCUUAAUUUUAAUUUUAUGUACAAGUGUAAGUCUGUCUGUCUUUUAUUAAUGUAGAAUUGUCCCUGUUAGUAUAGAAGGUUGACUUUUGGUAGAGAACCAUAUUUAAGUAAACACUAUCUAAUUUUAGUGCAAUGCUGCAUAUUGGAGUUCUUCACAUCAAUUAAAUUACCAACCUUAUGAAAAGAAAAACGAACUAAUCAUACCUCCUAUUCUAAUACUUACAAUAUUUCAAAAUUGUUUAACUGUCUAAUUAGCUAUUUAUGUUCUUCUAAUGUUAAGAGUAUACAACUUUCAGCAACUACAGUGUGUUGUCCGACAAAUAAUUACAAUGACAGUAUAUCUAAGAGUUUCAUGUAAGUUUCCACUGCUACAAAAGUUUACUUCAGACGUAUUAUUAUUGGGCUGCAUUUAGGUACAUAUUACUUUAGUUAAGAGAUUAAAUUUUUCUGAUAUUUUUAUAACUCUAAUAAUAGAUCUUUGGAGAGUUUGAGACCAUAAGGGUUGACAAAAUUAAAAAUAUUAGACUUAUUAUAGAAAUAUCAGUAUUAUGCUUAAUAAGAGUGUCUUUUACAAAGAUGAGUUACAAGUUUGUUUGUUAUUGCAAUUUGCAUAGUACUUUGCUUUGUAGAACGAUUGUGCAUUUUUUUUUUUUGGUUUGUUAACUUUCUUUCAUAUGUAUAAUUUCCACAGGUAAACAUAAGGGAUUUUCAAAAUGCAACCGCAAACUUUCGCAGAGAUAAUAUAAGUUUCAGCCCAAUUCUUAAUCACUGUGUAUUACAUGACUUUGGCGAUUUGAUUUAGAAAAAUUUAUCUACUCAGAAAUCUUUGAAUGCUGAAUAGGUAGUAUCAAACUUGGCCGAGAUACAAGAACUAUUCAUGGUAUCUUUGGCGGUUUGCAAAGCAAGACAUACCGAGUUCAAUCUUCUGGUACAUAUCUCUUUGUCUCUGUUGUAAUAUAUACAUUUUAUACUGAAUAGCUUUAUAUGUUUUAAUCUUCCAAAUAACUUAUAAAGAAUUCAUAUAGGAGCGUGAGUAGUUUAUUGAUCGAUUUAUUGUUAUUAUUUUAAGUUCACGAUUUAGUGUGGAACUAUGGAACUCCUGGUGCCAUAAUAGAAAUUUGUCAAUUCAAUUUCAUUUUAGAGUAUUGUUCUACUUUCUAGCAUGUAGAUCUUCUUUUAUCAUAUCUUCUUACAGCUAUUGUAAUUCAAUCUUUAAAAUAGACUGUGAGGCAAUUGUUCGCAUUGACUCAGCUUCAAAACAUUGAUUUAAUAGAUAGGAUUAUAGGAAGGGUAAUGGAUCAAGAAAGGUCACGGAUGAUUAUUAUGAGCAUACGAGGAAAAUCUGAGUCAUUAUGAAUAGUUUUUUGGGAUAUGAACUGAUUGCUGCAUAAUGGCCCUUUGACUUGCUGCAACUUCUUGUGAACCUCUCUCACGUAAGUUUAAAAAUUCUCAAAGUGGUCAGAAUAUUUUUUAGCCUAUUGUAAUGUCCAAGCACUUCAGAUAAUAAAAGAGUUUUUACUACAUUUCAUAUUUUUUGUCCGCUCUUUUAAGUUAUUUCUUCUGGUAUUAUGUGCUCUAACCUUUCUAUAAUUAUGGAUAUGUUAUUAUAGCAGUUGAUUUUCAUGCAUAUGAUGCAGACUAAGCAUCAUUCAUUAUUUAUUUAUUUGUUUAUUUCAAUUGUUACAUUGGUAUUUUUUUACUACUACUCUUAGAUGGAUACUUCCUAAAUUAAUUUGACUCUUGGCACAUGGACGUAUCUUAAUCUCCAGCAAUUUAGUUGUGUAAUUUUUUUUGUUUUUCAGUAGAAGACAUGAGAGAUGUAUCUUCAUGUUCAACUUUUCAUAAGUUUUGAAUAUGUUGGGUUAACUUCCUUUAAGAAUUCAACUUUAAAUUUUUUUUUUUUAUUUGAUAAUGAAAAUUUUAUUGUGGUUUCAUUGAGAAGUAUUUUUCAUCUCUCCAACUUUGAUAGCUGUAACUUCAUCUAUAGUAUCUUUGUGUGUAUCAAUUUGAUCAGCUUUGCACGGACGACUAAGACCUACUCAUUAUGAAGGUAAUUUUACCAAUUUACCCAUUAAUUUUUUUUUUUUGGGAACUUUACAAAUAAGUGUAAGUACUUUCAAAAAUAAUUAAUUGUAAGAGUAAUAUUGAAAAAAAUUAAUUAAUGUUUUCUUGAUUUAGUAAGGUGGACAACAAAUAUGAUACAACUAUUUUUAAUAAAGGAAAAAUGGUCAAUUAAAUAACUGACUCAUGUAGUUAAGUGAUUUUGCGAGCAAAAUGAUUAGUUUUAAAUUUAGAAUUUUUGUCAUUCCAAUGGAAUCAAGAUAAGAUGUGAUUCUACACAUCCCUCUAUAUCCAGAAUUCUCGAUUACUUUCUUAGGAUGUUGGAGGUCCUGUUGUGGUCCCCUCGAGUUGUAAGUCAUAGAAAGUUUAAUGUAAUUUUAUCCUUGGCAACAUUGCUCUAUAGAUUACAGUUAUAUCUUCUUUAAACAAACAGAACUCAAAAUGAGAAUGUCUCUAAUUAUUUGAAAUUCACAUGAAAUUAUAGAAAAUUCUUAUAGUAUUCAUUAAAUAUUCAUCUGAUCAACUAAUUUUCUCUCUAUGUUAUGGCAGGUUCCGAAUUAAGAAAAGGGUGGCGACCCGACAUAGUACAAUAGAAAUGCAAAAGGUCAACUAGUAAGGAUAUCCUUUAAUUUGAUGCAUAUUACUCAGUAUAGUGGAUGAGAAGAUCAACGAAAAUUGUAAUGUUGGAAUUUGAGCAUGUUCACAAGUUUAUGGGUGUAAUUAUUUCGGAUCCUAAUGACAUUAACAACCAUUUGCUAAGGUUGGUUUGAAAAACUAUCGAAUGUGAAUUUCAAUGAAGUAGAUGUAAAUGAAGCUAUUUAUUGAAGAGAAUGGUUGUUUAAGUUGCCUUACCUAUAUGUAUUGAUCAUACCUUAUUUACCUUAUUUGGGUCAACAUUGUUGCUGACAAGCUUCUUGAUGCAACUAAAAAUUAAUUACAGUUCUUAACUUGCCACAACCACAGAGGGUAGCACGAUCACCUCUUGAGGUCUUCUUUUUCAAAAGAUAAUUUUAUGGAGCUGUCUGCAAUAAUAUGAUUUGUUAUUCGGUAAAUAUUGAUCUUGCUCACUCCUUGAUAAAUUGGGCAAGAUUUCAUUCAAAAGUUCUCUACUUUCUUAAAUUUCAUGCAAAGUUAAAAAGGGCAAACAAAUUAAGACGGAUAAAGUAGGAAAGAUGUCCAAUUUGUAGUAUGGUGAAUUAUUCCUAUGAUGAACUUUCAGGUCAAUAAUGUUGUUAAGCUAUUCAACAAUGAGUUGAGGGUGUAUUCUGUUUGGGUUUUGCAUAAUUAUAUAUUUAUUGGGAGUGAAUUUAGCAUUUUUUUUAAUUAUUAUCCCAUUAAAAUAUGAUUGAACUAUUAAAAUAUGAUUAAGGAUAGUAUAUUUGAUGUUGUCAAAUGCAAGUAUAGCGAUACUAACAAUUCAUCAUAAGGAAAGCUUUCAUUUUAGACAUAGUACAAAACUAAUUGUGAGAAAAAGAGUCUUUAAGUAAGUUUUUGAGUGUUUAUUAUUUUUCAAGAAUACUAUUUUUUAUGAUCACCUUUUCUUAAAAUUAUUCAAAUUAUCCGUGCAAUGCACGGGAUCGUGUGCUAGUAAUUAUAAAAGUUUGC